rnacentral:misc_RNA from 1 species
AGAACCAACUGGAGCACCCAAACCUUUUGAUAAACACACCGAAACAGAAUCUGCAGCUUGUACAAGCCUAUGAACGGGAACUCCCAGCGCAACAGAAGCAUUGAAGAUGCGAGCUCCAUCAAUGUGAAGCUUCAAGCCGUAUUUUUUAGCUAGCUCCCCUACUCUAUCUGUAUAUUCUACAGAGAUGCAUCGCCCCCCAGAGUUAGCAUGAGUGUUCUCCAAGCAAAUAAGCCUCGUCGUCGGAAAGUACAGCUCUCCCGCCGGAUGCCGCACCGCCGCCUCGAUCGCCGCCAGCGCCAUCGUCCCAUCCGCCUCGUUCUUCACCGUCUUCGGGUGAACCCCGCCGAUCGUGGCGAUCCCGCCGUUCUCGAAGAUAUGAAUGUGUGAGUUGUCGCCGAGGAUGACUUCGCUGCCGCGGACGUCGCAGUGGACGAGGACGGAGAUGAGGUUCCCCAUGGUGCCGGAGGGGACGAAGAGGGCGGCGUCCUUGCGGAAGAGGAGGGCGAGGUCGGAUUCGAG